rnacentral:rRNA from 1 species
ACACAUGCAAGUCGAACGAAGCGCUUAAACGGAUUUCUUCGGAUUGAAGUUUUUGCGACUGAGUGGCGGACGGGUGAGUAACGCGUGGGUAACCUGCCUCGUACAGGGGGAUAACAGUUAGAAAUGACUGCUAAUACCGCAUAAGCGCACAGUGCUGCAUGGCACAGUGUGAAAAACUCCGGUGGUAUGAGAUGGACCCGCGUCUGAUUAGCUAGUUGGUGGGGUAACGGCCUACCAAGGCGACGAUCAGUAGCCGGCCUGAGAGGGUGAACGGUCACAUUGGGACUGAGACACGGCCCAAACUCCUACGGGAGGCAGCAGUGGGGAAUAUUGCACAAUGGGGGAAACCCUGAUGCAGCGACGCCGCGUGAGCGAAGAAGUAUUUCGGUAUGUAAAGCUCUAUCAGCAGGGAAGAAAAUGACGGUACCUGACUAAGAAGCACCGGCUAAAUACGUGCCAGCAGCCGCGGUAAUACGUAUGGUGCAAGCGUUAUCCGGAUUUACUGGGUGUAAAGGGAGCGUAGACGGUUGUGUAAGUCUGAUGUGAAAGCCCGGGGCUCAACCCCGGGACUGCAUUGGAAACUAUGUAACUAGAGUGUCGGAGAGGUAAGCGGAAUUCCUAGUGUAGCGGUGAAAUGCGUAGAUAUUAGGAGGAACACCAGUGGCGAAGGCGGCUUACUGGACGAUCACUGACGUUGAGGCUCGAAAGCGUGGGGAG